AUGAGGAUGAUGAAAAAAUAGACGAUUUACCAUGAUUUUCUCUUAAAAAAAAGAAAGGAUGAUCUUACAACCAGCUACUUCUGACUCAU